AACCGCCAGACUCCUUCCCCUUCGGAUCUAAAUAGUGGUCUGAGGGGCUCAAAAAGGUGGGAGAGUAAAACUGAAGUCUUGGACUUGAAGUCUUUCGUUUGAAACCGACAAAG
rnacentral:snoRNA from 1 species